rnacentral:lncRNA from 1 species
GGUGACUGUCAUCGCCGCCGCUGACAUGAAGAUUUAGGGUUCCGCCGUGACAGAGUGUGACGAUGGUGUUGUUAGUUGUCACCGAAGGUGAGUAACUCUGGCCAAUCGACUCUAUGGUGUUUCUGUGCAACCAAAAUCGGCACCGAUCAGAUACAUUUUAUCUUAUGGAAAAAUAAGGAAAGGCAGAACAGCAAAGAUGGGGAAUUGAACCAACAUCACGUGGGUAACACCGGAUGCAUCUAAACCACUAAUCCAUUGAGCUUUUCCAGGUUUCUCAAAAUGCUUAUUUAUAGAUAUAUAACAUCAUCGGCAAACUAUACAUAAAAAGACCCAAGACUGAAGAAAAAGGAUAGGAGACAGGAUGCGGUCCGAUGGUGGGGUCUCUAAGAUGUCUAUUUGGUGGCAUGGGCAUAUGGAUAUGGAUCACUAUAAUCAGCUCCAGUAGAUGGAUGUCCCGCUAACAUGGCCGAAUGAAACAGGU